GGAGGGAUGGCCGAGCGGACGAAGGCGACAGUCUUGAAAACUGUUGAGCCGGGUUAACCGGUUCCGUGGGUUCGAAUCCCACUCCCUCCGCCA
rnacentral:tRNA from 1 species